rnacentral:lncRNA from 1 species
UAUUGCUUCUCAUUGGACCCUAUGAUCACUCGGCUACACAUGCCUCUACCUAAUAACCCAGAAGCAGACCAGGACAAGGUGAGUAAAAUAAAGGUGAGUAUUUAUUGGUAGUCUUGAUGUGUAAUUUGAGUGAUCCAGGAGACGGAGCGGCAGCGGAGGUGAGUUGAUGAGAGUAAAUGGGUUGAUCCAAUGAAGUCACUGUAUCCACCGACAGCCAGGCAAGAGAGUUGAAUGUUCCGGGAGAAUGACUGUAGACAGAGUAAACGGGAGUGAGUAACCAGUAACAAGCACAAAACAACAAAACUAGCUCAGGAAACAUGAGGCUGAUACGCUGGCACAACAUACUGUUCAUUGCUAACGAUCCGGCAGGGAAUGGAUGUCAGCUCAGGGUUUAAGAAGAGGUGAAGAUCAGGACCAGGUGUGCAGAAGUUUGAUGAGAUGCAGGUGCGGGUAAUAAAUAGAUCUUCCGCCUAACCUCGUUGCCUGGCAACCAGACAGGGUGCGUUCAGGAACCUUAGACAACACUUAAACAAAAACAGUCAUCUCAGGCAGAAACAGACUCAGGAAGCGGGAAUCCUGACAUCCCUGAUUCAUUGGUCUCGCUGAAACCUUUGGCUUUGGAAAAUGAAUAAUAAAAGUCAGAGAGGACGACCCCGAAGUGAAAACACCUGAAAGACAUGUACAGUUGAAGUGGGAAGUUUACAUACACUUCAACCAAAUACAUUUAAACUCAGUUUUUCACAAUUCCUGACAUUUAAUCCUAGUAAAAAUUCCGUUUUAGGUCAGGUAGGAUAACCACUUUAUUUCAAGCUGUUUGAAGGCACAGUCAACUUAGUGUAUGUAACCUUCUGACCCACUGGAAUUGUGAUACAGUGAAUUAUAAGUGAAAUAAUCUGUCUGUAAACAAUUGUUGGAAAAAUGACUUGUGUCAUGCACAAAGUAGAUGUCUAACCGACUUGCCAAAACUAUAGUUUGUUAACAAGAUAUUUGUGGAGUGGUUGAAAAACUAGUUUUAAUGACUCCAACCUAAGUGUAUGUAAACUUCCGACUUCAACUGUAUGUACAGUAGUUCUUUAGAAAAGGAAAAUUCAUUCUGCAAAAUAUAAACAUUGGCAAAUAUGUAUUUGCAGAAAGCAUUGUUACGUUUGCAUGAUAUAGUUCCUUGCUUUGACUUUGAACUAGUGAAACGUUAGAAAAAUGGCCAAAUCAACCUUCCAUUCCAUGUACGACAUUUUAGUGAGUCAAAACCGCCGCCCACCACUCUGACAGCAACGAACGCAUGCUGUUUUCAGAUUAGCAUCACAGCAGCAACAUUAGCAGUAGAUUGAGGAAAACAUUUAAUUUAAUACAUUUUUGAAUAAGGCUGUUACGUAACAAAAUGUGGAAAAAGUUAAGGGGCCUGAAUACUUUCAAAAUGCCCAGUAUGUAGCUUGUGACGUACUCCGGCUCUCUAUCUCCUCUCUGAUGUUAUUACCUAUAUAGUAGUGAUAGUUGAGCUCUAACUCAUCUGUCACUCUGCCCUGCCUCCCUCUCAGGGUUAUGCUCCAGACAACAGCGUCAUUCAGGAGGCUCAGAGACUCUCCAAACAGCAUGGGACCCAGUUGCUCCUGACCUCUGACCCAGUGGAGGCAGCUCGGGGCAGUAACGUCCUGGUGACAGACACCUGGGUCAGCUUGGGCCAGGAGGAGAAGAAACAGAGGAUCAAGGACUUCCAUGGCUACCACAUCACCAUGCAGUUACAUACAACACUAGACUCACUACAGGAACAAGAUCAUCCACAUGUAUAGAUCACAUUUUUACUAAUACUGUAGAACUUUGUUCUAAAGCUGUAUCCGUACCCAUUGGACGUAAUGAUCACAAUAUAGUGGUAAUAUCCAGGAAUGCCAAAAUUCCAACAGCUGGGCCUAAAAUAGCAUGUAAGAGAUCAUACAAAAGACUUUGCUGUGAUUUUUAUGUGGAUGAUGUUACAAAUAUUUGUUGGUCUGAUGUGAUUAAUGAGGAGCAUCCAGACGCUGCACUUAUGAAAUUGCAUCUUCCAAUUAUUGAUGCCAUGCACCUGUUAAGAAACUGACUGUUACGAACUGUUAAGGCUCCAUUGAUUGAUGAGGAAUUGAAAAACUGUAUGGUUGAAAGAGAUGGAGCAAAAGGAGUGGCUAAUAAGUCUGGUUACACAUCUGACUUACUGCAAAUUGAGACAUCAUGUGGCUAAACUCAUUAAAAAGAAGAAGAAACUGUUAUGAAGCCAAGAUAAAUGAUAAAAAGAAUGAUAGGAAAAAACUUGAGUACUUUAAAUGAAAUUAUGGGCAGAAAGACAUAUUCAACUCCAUCUUUCAUUGAAUCAGAUGGCUUAUUCAUCACAAAACCAUUUGAUGUUGACAAUUAUUUUAAUGAUUACUUCUUUGGCAAAGUGGGAAAACUUAGGCAGGAAAUACCAACAGCGAACAGUGAGCCAUCGUAUUCAAGCAUAAAAAAAACUAAUAAUGAAAGAAAAGCAUUGCAAGUUUGAAUUUUGUAAAGUUAGUGUGGGAGUGGUGGAAAAAUUGUUAUUGAUACAUAAUGACAAACCUCCUGGCAUUGACAACUUUGAUGGAAAACCCUAACCCUAACCCUAUAGCCACUUCUAUCUGUCAUAUCUUUCAUCUGAGCCUAGAGGAAAGUCUUUGUCCUUAGGCCUGGAGGGAAGCCAAAGUAAUUCCACUACCCAAGAGUGGUAAACCGGCCUUUACUGGUUCUAACAGCAGACCUAUAAGUCUGCUGCCAGCUCUUAGUGUCACGUCCUGACCAGUAAUAGGGGUUAUUUGUUAUUGUAGUUUGGUCAGGACGUGGCAGAGGGUAUUUGUUUGUGGUUCGGGGUGGUGGUUUGUUUAGUAGGGUAUUUGAUUUAUGUAUUCCGGGGGUUUUUGGGCACUGUUCUAUGUUAGUGUAUUUCUAUGUUCUGUCUAGUCUUUUGUAUUUCUAUGUUUUGUUAAUUGGGGUUGGACUCUCAAUCGGAGGCAGGUGUUUUCUAGUUGCCUCUGAUUGAGAGUCCUUUAUAUAUAGGUAUGUGUUUGUUGAGUACUUUGUGGGAGAUUGUUCUGUGUAUAGCCUUGUGCCUUACCAGCCUGUGAUUAGUCGUUGUGGUUUCUUUGUGUACGUGUUUGUUUUGGUUCGCCAUCUUGUCCGUUUAUAAUAAAGAAGAUGAGUGCACAUUUCCCCGCUGCAUUGUGGUCUAUAUCCGACGACAACCGUUACAGAAUCUCCCACCACAAAAAGACCAAGCAGCGGAGUAAGGAGCAAAGGGAAUUUGAUAUGGACCUGGGAGGAAAUUCUGGACGGGGCUGGACCUUGGCACCAGGCUGGGGAAUACCGUCGCCCACGGGAGGAAAUCGAGGCAGCCAAGGCGGAGAGGCGGAGGUACGAGGCCUUGUACGCGCUGAGGGAGAAGCACGAGAGGCACCCCCAAUAAUUUCUUUGGGGAGGGGCACACGGGUAGUUUGACUGGGCCAAGGAUGAGCCAUAAGCCAGCUACCUGUGUUUAUAUGGAGGACCGUAUGGAAUGGAUGGCGCCGAGUUUUGAAGAAGUGCGCACGAUCUCACCCAUACGCACGCACAGUCCAGUGCGAGUUAUUAGCCCCUCGCAGAUGCCGUGCUAGAGUGGGCAUCCAGCCUGGUAGGAGGAUGCCUGCGCAGCGCGUCUGGUCACCGGUGCGCCUCCUAGGACCAGGCUACCCUACGCCCGCUCUACGCACGGCAACCAUCAGGCCCCUGCACAGCCCAGUUCGCCCUGUACUAGCACCCCGCUCGUACAGGGCUACUAGUUCCGUCCUGGCUGGAUGGGUUGUGCAGGAGGUGUGAUCAAGACCGCCUGUGCGCCUCCAUGGCCCAUAUUUCCAGUUUCUGCCUCUCGUGCUGACCCGGAAAUGCGAACUCCUAGUCUGGCACGUCCAGUACCAGCACCACGCAUCAAGCUUCCAGAGAAUCAGCCUAGUCCUACUCAGCCUGUUCCCGCUCCUCGCACUAGCCAUGAGGUGCGUGUUCCCAAACUGGCACUUCCAGC